ACGGAAAUAGCUCAAUGGUAGAGCAUAACUUUGCCAUAGUUGAGGUUGAGGGUUCGAAUCCCUUUUUCCGUU
rnacentral:tRNA from 1 species